rnacentral:rRNA from 1 species
UGGGGAAUAUUGCACAAUGGGCGAAAGCCUGAUGCAGCGACGCCGCGUGAGGGAUGACGGCCUUCGGGUUGUAAACAUCUUUCAGCAGGGACGAAGCGCAAGUGACGGUACCUGCAGAAGAAGCACCGGCUAACUACGUGCCAGCAGCCGCGGUAAUACGUAGGGUGCAAGCGUUGUCCGGAAUUACUGGGCGUAAAGAGUUCGUAGGCGGUUUGUCGCGUCGUUUGUGAAAACCAGCAGCUCAACUGCUGGCUUGCAGGCGAUACGGGCAGACUUGAGUACUGCAGGGGAGACUGGAAUUCCUGGUGUAGCGGUGAAAUGCGCAGAUAUCAGGAGGAACACCGGUGGCGAGGGCGGGUCUCUGGGCAGUAACUGACGCUGAGGAACGAAAGCGUGGGUAGCGAACAGG